GUCAUUGUAGCUUAUUUUUUGAAAGCGCGGCACUGAAGAUGCUGAGACGAGGAACGCAAAAACCUCCCCAGACA
rnacentral:tRNA from 1 species